rnacentral:tRNA from 1 species
GGAAGGAUGGCUGAGUGGUUUAAGGCAGCGGUCUUGAAAACCGUCGAGUGUAAUAGCUCCCAGAGUUCGAAUCUCUGUCCUUCCGCCA